AGCGAGAAGAGCGAGGGAGGGCCGUUUCUGUCUUUGGUUAUCUAGCUGUAUGAGUGUAAUCGACCCAUCAUAAAGCUAGAUAACCGAAAGUAGAAAUGACUCCCACAGACCACCGAGGAGAC
rnacentral:precursor_RNA from 11 species